rnacentral:rRNA from 1 species
GAUGAACGCUGGCGGCGUGCCUAAUACAUGCAAGUCGAGCGAAUGGAUUAAGAGCUUGCUCUUAUGAAGUUAGCGGCGGACGGGUGAGUAACACGUGGGUAACCUGCCCAUAAGACUGGGAUAACUCCGGGAAACCGGGGCUAAUACCGGAUAACAUUUUGAACCGCAUGGUUCGAAAUUGAAAGGCGGCUUCGGCUGUCACUUAUGGAUGGACCCGCGUCGCAUUAGCUAGUUGGUGAGGUAACGGCUCACCAAGGCAGCGAUGCGUAGCCGACCUGAGAGGGUGAUCGGCCACCCUGGGACUGGGACACGGCCCAGACUCCUACGGGAGGCAGCAGUAGGGAAUCUUCCGCAAUGGACGAAAGUCUGACGGAGCAACGCCGCGGUAGUGAUGAAGGCUUUCGGGUCGUAAAACUCUGUUGUUAGGGAAGAACAAGUGCUAGUUGAAUAAGCUGGCACCUUGACGGUACCUAACCAGAAAGCCACGGCUAACUACGUGCCAGCCGCCGCAGUAA